AUCAGAAUGUUCUAUGAUGAUUGUGACUAAUACCUGUGCAACUCAAGGGAAGACACGACUUCAUACAGAGUGAGUUACUUGGGAGAUUGAAGAAACAAGAAAAACAUUUAUUUUAAAGCUGAGCGUCACAGGUCGGGCUCCCUGCUUGGAAACUGAAUGAGGCCAGGUGAGGCCAGGUGUCCCUCUAUUUCUUGUUUGCUUGCAUUGAAGGAAACCGGUUGCCAUGCUAUGAGCUGCCCGAUGGAAAGGCCCACAUGGAAGGAACUGAAGUCUUCUGGCUCAAAGUCACUGAGGAACUGAGGCCCUCAGUGCAAAGGCCCUCAAGGUAUUGAGUUCUGCCAACAGUCAUACGAGUAAGACUGGAAGUGGAUCUUCCCCCAGUCAGGCCAUCAGGUGAGACCACAUUCCUGGCUGACACUCUGACUGCAGCCAUGAGACACGUGGAGCCAGAGGCACCUGGCCAAGCUGCAGCUGGAUUCCUGACCCACAGAAGACCCACACAAUAAAUGUUUCUUGUUUUAAGUA
rnacentral:lncRNA from 1 species